ensembl:lncRNA
GUUUCAGGUGUGGCUCAGAAUCAAUCCUGUUCAUGCAUUAUGUUUUUAUGAUGGCAAGUGAAGAGAAGCCUUUAUCACACGGAUGUGAUCGCAAAAGGAAGGAGAGGGCACACGGCGUGGUCCGAAAGUGCAGACUGCUGGCAGCGAUGUUGCACCAACCUCAUGAAGAUUGAAGAGCCGGUGCCUCGGAAAGCCUCCGCGACCCGGCAGGGUUCCUUGUAUCAUGAAAUGGUAACACCUUCUGCUGGGGAGGGGCAUAUGGUCCAGGAUUUGUCUGCAGAGAUCACUGAACUUCUGGUGUCUUACUAUCAAGAGAGUUGACCUUGAGGAGUGAGGAUGAUGGACACAGACUAGUGGUGGAGCUCUCCUCCCCUCCACCAUGUUUAGGGAAACAAAUCACUGCGGAAAACCCUUCUUCUCACCCCAGGUUGAACUAGUUCUCUCUGUCCUUUUCAGCACGGCAUGACCUAUGAUUACAGUGUGUUGUUGUUUUGCAUGCUGAAGGUUAUCCCUCCCUAUGAUUGGAUUGGCUUUUAAUUAUACUUUUUGAUGCACACUGGAAAACCUUACAACCAUUGUCUUAUUAGUAACACAACUGGGUAUCCAUGUUAUUUUGUUCAGAGAUUACGAACACAUAGUAUGAAUGAUUUAAGAUAAUUGCGCAGCGCCAUAGCUGGGACGAGUUCCAGACAAGAGAUCAAGCAGGAGAUAUUGCUAAAAAUAAAAGGUGUGUCGCCGGGCGGGAAUUCACGUCCUCCAUUGUGUGUUGCAUUUCUCUUCAUAUAUUGUCUAGACGUUUGUGUUUCUCAGGAUUGUUGAGUGAUUUGUAUCGCUUUUGUGUUGUUUUAUAUAUGUAACAAUGAUAGCUAUGUCAUUCAGACUAUAAAAAUAAAGAUCACUAUAAAUCAUCUUUCUGUCAGUUGGGCAGUGUUGGCAGAUCUCAGGUGACAAGAAACAUUCUAGAUCCUGGUAAAGAACAUUUAGUCUGCAGGAGACUUUUGUGUAAAACUGUUAUAUGUUUAUAUUUCAGUUUAUAUUUCAGUUACUUUUCAAGCAUUUGGAACAGCAUAAAGAAUUCUUUAUUCUUAACAGGUUAUGGCAUUGACCAAUGCAGCUGCUGUGUCAAAGUUACAAUAUAUAUAAAUAUCAAUGCAAGCUUAAUGCUGCUUCACCAUGUUUUAAAUGUAGAAAUAUAUAUAAAAAUAUGAAAUAAGAUUAAUGAAAAUAAAUAUAAGUAUUUGUUCAAUCAAAUAAUAGUGUAUAGUUACAGAACUGAAAAGAAAAUAACCGGUGAGGCAUGUGACGUAGUCAAUGUAUGUACAUAAGUACAAAAUAUAAAACAAGAGCACAUUAUAAAAGCAUGUCAUUGCUCACACGCAUUUAAGGUCAAUCUAUAUUCCAUAGUUCAUAUUUCUAUUCACAUUAUAUAUAUAUAUAUAUAUAUAUAUAUAUAUAUAUAUAUAUAUAUAUAUAU